rnacentral:misc_RNA from 1 species
CUUUUUUUCAGUUAUUAAAAGAAAAAAAAUAAAUGGAAAGCCUCCAUGAAUUGAUCAAGUCAUGAAAUAACAAGAUUGAGCCUCCUGACCUGCUAGGAUGCCAACAGGUAUCUAGCUUUACGCAAUAGAUUCUAAGUUUCCAUGCCAUUAACAAAGACCUUAGCUAAUUAGACAACGCAACACAUAUUCAAUGACCAGCCAGUUAUCUUGUCAUUUGGUGGGGAAAAAAAUGAUAAUAAUCCUCAGCACAGGUCAUGGGUACAUGUCAUCACAGAGCAAGCCACAAAUAGAAGUUCCGAAACCAAAACAUUAACACGGUACUAUUUUUUAUUUUUUUUUAAAAGCCCCGCAAGGGUAGCAACAAAAUUAGUUCAGAAAGUAACACAAGUUAUAAUAGGAUGAUCCUAAACUCAUUACUCACUCCUCAUCCUCCUCAUCUCCAUCUCCACCCGAAGCCUUCUUGCUAGCUGCUCUUUGGUUCUUUCUCUUCACUCUACCAGGGCGCCCACCACCAAAUGGACUUGUC